AUUGAACGCUGGCGGCAGGCCUAACACAUGCAAGUCGAGCGGAGCGGCGGUCGGGUGAGUAAUGCCUAGGAAUCUGCCUGGUAUUGGGUGAUAACCUCCGUAAACGGGCGCUACUACCUCAUACUCUCACAUCAGCCUAGGUCUGAUUAGCUAGUUUGUGGGGUAAAGGCCUACCAAGGCGACGAUCCGUAACUGGUCUGAGAGGAGGAUCAGUCACACUGGAACUGAGAGACGGUCCAGACACCUACGGGAAGCAGCAGUGGGGAAUAUUGGAGAAUGGGCGAGAGCCUGAUCCAGCCAUGCCGCGUGUGUGAAGAAGGUCUUGGGAUUGUAAAGAAGUUUAAGUUGGGAGGCGUUCCCAACAGCAUAGGCACCGGCUAACUUCGUGCCAGCAGCCGCGGUAAUAC
rnacentral:rRNA from 1 species